CAGAUACUUGCUUGAGAAAAAAUCAGAUGACAGCAUUCUUUUGUUGCUCCUUAUUCGUGUUAUUGAGGCUUUGGGGACUAUGGAAGUUCUGAAUAUUAAGAGUGGACCACCAUAGGCAGGCAUGGAAAUUAGAAUCAGUUGCCAUUAUGGAACCUCCAGUUAACUUUAUUGUGCCAGCUCAAUCUAUAGGAAAGAAAAGGCCAAGGUGGGCUCUUAUUGACAAAGCAUACAUGCAUAAUACAUGGAUAACUUCACAAUCGUCGUAUCAUUUGUAUCGUACAAGUAAAAACGUAUCUCCUUCAGACAAUGUGAAUCUUGCUAAUGUGAAUCUUGCUGGGCGAUCACUUGUGAAAAUGAUUAAACGAUGGCCAUCUUUAAUUGCAAAGUGUGUGCUUACACUCACGGAGAACCUGAGAACCCCGAGCUCACCGGAAUAUUUGGCAUGGUUUUUUCAUGUUUUAGAUUUAAUUUUAAUAGUUUUAUGGUUAUAGUUCUAUUUCCAAAUGGACGUCCACCCCAACGAACUAAAAGAACGCAGGUUUUUAUAUGGUCUUGCAAGGCUUAGACAUGAAAUAAAAUAACUAAAGUUAUUGGGAUUUUGCUAAUUAUUAAUUUUUGCUUUUAAUGAAUAGAGUUCAAACCUUUACAAAGGAAAUAUUGAUGCUUACGUUAGUGAUAUUGGGGUUGGAUAACCAAGUGAGUUUUUUUCUUAAUAUCAACAUAAAAAGUUCAUUUUAAUCUUACACAAUGGUUGAUGUAUCAACUGUAUUGUUACUAAUAACAUUUACAUGAAUAUGUUUUUAGGGAUGCAUAUGGAAUUUUGGGUCUAUAACAUGCUGACAAAAGACGGCGGCAUGAUUUGAGAUAUACGAACCAACCCAUUAUGAUCCAACCAAGAACCUAAACUGACCCGAACGGCUGUAUUUUAGUUAUGUUUCUUUUUGAAAUUAUAUGUAAUUCAAAUGUGUUAGUUUGAGUCUGGGAUGGAAAUGA